AGGUACCCACCCCUAUGAAAUUUAUGCAUGAGCCCUUAAAGGAAGAGGGUGACCAGUGGAACUUAUGAAUGGGAAUAACUCCUCAUGACCACCUAGUAUUUCUCCACGAGGUUUUUUGCUGUUGGAGACUGACUCCUAGCAGCCAGUAAGGAGGAGAAGGGGAGAGAGCUCAUUCGAUAUUAACAACAUUGUCAUCCCAAUGUCUGUUGCUGCAACAACUCGCGUAGAGAAACUGCAAUACAAGGAAAUCCUUACUCCCAGCUGGCGGGAGGUUGAUCUUCAGUCUCUGAAGGGGAGUCCUGAUGAGGAGAAUGAGGAGAUUGAGGACCUAUCCGACGCAGCCUUCGCCGCCCUGCAUGCCAAAUGUGAGGAGAUGGAGAGGGCACGGUGGCUGUGGACCACGAGUGUGCCACCCCAGCGGCGGGGUAGCAGGUCCUACAGGUCAUCAGACGGCCGGACAACCC
rnacentral:sRNA from 1 species